CCUACGGGAGGCAGCAGUAGGGAAUAUUGCUCAAUGGGCGAAACCCUGAAGCAGCAACGCCGCGUGGAUGAUGAAGGUUUUCGGAUUGUAAACUCCUUUUGUUAGAGAAGAUAAUGACGGUAUCUAACGAAUAAGCACCGGCUCACUCCGUGCCAGCAGCCGCGGUAAUACGGAGGGUGCAAGCGUUACUCGGAAUCACUGGGCGUAAAGAUCGCGUAGGCGGGAUAGCAAGUCAGAUGUGAAAUCCUAUGGCUUAACCAUAGAACUGCAUUUGAAACUGUUAUCCUAGAGUAUAGAAGAGGUAGGUGGAAUUCGUGGUGUAGGGGUAAAAUCCGUAGAGAUCAAGAGGAAUACUCAUUGCGAAGGCGACCUGCUAGAACAUAACUGACGCUGAUGCGCGAAAGCGUGGGGAGCAAACAGGAUUAGAUACCCUUGUAGUC
rnacentral:rRNA from 1 species